AGCGAACGCUGGCGGCAGGCCUAACACAUGCAAGUCGAACGAACCUUUCGGGGUUAGUGGCGGACGGGUGAGUAACACGUGGGACGUGCCUUUAGGUUCGGAAUAACUCAGGGAAACUUGUGCUAAUACCGAAUGUGCCCUUCGGGGGAAAGAUUUAUCGCCUUUAGAGCGGCCCGCGUCUGAUUAGCUAGUUGGUUGAGGUAAUGGCUCACCAAGGCGACGAUCAGUAGCUGGUCUGAGAGGAUGAUCAGCCACAUUGGGACUGAGACACGGCCCAAACUCCUACGGGAGGCAGCAGUGGGGAAUCUUGCGCAAUGGGCGAAAGCCUGACGCAGCCAUGCCGCGUGAAUGAUGAAGGUCUUAGGAUUGUAAAAUUCUUUCACCGGGGACGAUAAUGACGGUACCCGGAGAAGAAGCCCCGGCUAACUUCGUG
rnacentral:rRNA from 1 species